rnacentral:rRNA from 1 species
UACGGAGGGGGCUAGCGUUGUUCGGAAUUACUGGGCGUAAAGCGCACGUAGGCGGCUUUCUAAGUCAGGGGUGAAAUCCUGGAGCUCAACUCCAGAACUGCCUUUGAUACUGGAGAGCUCGAGUCCGGAAGAGGUGAGUGGAACUGCGAGUGUAGAGGUGAAAUUCGUAGAUAUUCGCAAGAACACCAGUGGCGAAGGCGGCUCACUGGUCCGGUACUGACGCUGAGGUGCGAAAGCGUGGGGAGCAAACAGGG